CACGUAGGGCGCAAGCGUUGUCCGGAAUUAUUGGGCGUAAAGAGCUCGUAGGCGGUCUGUUGCGUCCGCUGUGAAAACUCGGGGCUUAACCCCGAGCCUGCAGUGGAUACGGGCAGACUAGAGGUAGGUAGGGGAGAAUGGAAUUCCCGGUGUAGCGAUGAAAUGCGCAGAUAUCGGGAGGAACACCGGUGGCGAAGGCGGUUCUCUAGGCCUGUUCUGACGCUGAGGAGCGAAAGCAUGGGGAGCGAACAGG
rnacentral:rRNA from 1 species